rnacentral:lncRNA from 1 species
UAAUAGUUCUCAGCUGUAGCGAGGCAUCCUCAAAAACCGGCUCCUCCUCUCCGACUGCUAUUUCAAAAGUCGCAAUCAUGAACUUCUUUCAAUUCCUCAUGAAGAAGAAAGAAUGUUAACAGAUGGCAAAAUCCAGAACCUUGGGAAAAUGUGAAUCCUAGCAAGCCUCAAAAGCUUGUCACAAUUAACCAAAGAUGGGAACCUGUUGAAGAGCUGCAGGCUAUCAAAAAGUUGACCAAAUGAAGAGUUUCCUUCUAAAUCACACACUGAAUCUAAUGGAAACAUUUCUGCACAAACUAGACUAUUGAAACCAGUGUGCAAAAUUGCUUCUGCUACAUUUUUAGGAAUACAUAGGAAAUUUCCAUUUUGCCCCAAAAGUGGCAAGCUUGGCAAUAUCUGUAGUCGGUCCAAAAAAAUUCUCAUAUUUGCUGUAUUGGAAAGGUGACAAUCUAAAAUGCUGCUCUACAAUUUGAAUUUUCAUAUUCUAAAUAAGAACUUUUUGAAAUGUAAAGAUUAUUACAUACAUUCUUAUAGAGCUAUUCUUAACUUUAUUUUGGGGAUCUUUGAUUUUGUUGGGGUGUGUACAGACAUACUUUAGAGAUUGGUUCAGAAGUUCCAGACCACUGCAAUAAAA